rnacentral:lncRNA from 1 species
AUACAAGUGAGAGGUUUAGCUAGCUAUAAAUCCAAGUUCAAUCCACCAUUUGGAAAUGCCUGUAGCAAAUCAGGAAUAUGAUAGUUGUUAUCCAUUCUUUUGAGCUUUUUGCCAUUCGAUUGGGGACUUUCCGUUUUGAAUUUUCCUCGGAGUUCAGUAUUUUUGUGAUUUUACUUUUUAACCUCUUAGAAACACGACUUUCCAAGAGUUGGAGUGCGCGGAGAGUAAUUUUGUCGUUGAAAUUUAAGGGGGAAUGUGUAUGUUGAAUGAGGAAAUUUGAGGGGGGAAUUAUCACGUUUAUUUCAGGAAUUUGAACACCGACCUAGACAAAUAAAAAUUCACAACUAUCACCCAUCUUCUGUAGUAAAAAAAGAUUGAUUUACUUUUGCAGUCUUCGAACAACAC